rnacentral:rRNA from 1 species
GAUGAACGCUGGCGGCGUGCCUAAUACAUGCAAGUCGAGCGAACGGACGAGAAGCUUGCUUCUCUGAUGUUAGCGGCGGACGGGUGAGUAACACGUGGAUAACCUACCUAUAAGACUGGGAUAACUUCGGGAAACCGGAGCUAAUACCGGAUAAUAUUUUGAACCGCAUGGUUCAAAAGUGAAAGACGGUCUUGCUGUCACUUAUAGAUGGAUCCGCGCUGCAUUAGCUAGUUGGUAAGGUAACGGCUUACCAAGGCAACGAUGCAUAGCCGACCUGAGAGGGUGAUCGGCCACAAUGGAACUGAGACACGGUCCAGACUCCUACGGGAGGCAGCAGUAGGGAAUCUUCAGCAAUGGGCGAAAGCCUGACGGAGCAACGCCGCGUGAGUGAUGAAGGUCUUCGGAUCGUAAAACUCUGUUAUUAGGGAAGAACAUAUGUGUAAGUAACUGUGCACAUCUUGACGGUACCUAAUCAGAAAGCCACGGCUAACUACGUG